UGAACUGUAUGUGUACUUUUUAUCUUCUCAUAGAACAAUCAGGGCAGGUAAUUAUUUUUUCAGCCUUUCCCAGUUUGCCAUUGGCUGCCCGCCCUCACGUGAUUGUAUUUACCCAAAAAUAUAGCGUGGAUCAAUCCGCAGGUCUUUUUUUAAUAGCGCCUAUGCGACCUGGCUUUUGCUAAAAGCUCUGGAAAUAACGCGGAGCGGGGGAGGCGGGAGGCGGCUCCGCGGGGGCCGGGGGCUGCCCUGCCCGAGCCGGGCACGGCGACCCCAGGGCUGAGGAAGGUGGAAGGUAACCGGGGAAGCGAUGUCUAAACCGUCAGCCUGCCUAACAGCUGAGAAAUCUGGGGGGCACAGGCACAUCCAUUCCUGCUUUGCAAACUAAGUGUCUUCCGGAGGAAAACCAAAAUGUGUAGAUGUGAGGAGCACCUUUGAAAAGAGGAAGGGAAAAUAAUAACACCACCACCACUUAAAAAAAAAAAAAAAAAAAAAAAAAAAAAAAGGAAAGAGCUUUUGCAGUGAAAGCCUGCAUUAUUCGGCAAGUAGUCGUGGAUGUUUUUAUGUCCUUCAAUAAAAUUUUUACGAG